CCUACGGGUGGCUGCAGUGGGGAAUAUUGGACAAUGGGGGGAACCCUGAUCCAGCCAUGCCGCGUGUGUGAAGAAGGCCCUCGGGUUGUAAAGCACUUUCAGUGAGGAAGAACGCCUGGUGGUUAAUACCCAUCAGGAAAGACAUCACUCACAGAAGAAGCACCGGCUAACUCCGUGCCAGCAGCCGCGGUAAUACGGAGGGUGCGAGCGUUAAUCGGAAUUACUGGGCGUAAAGCGCGCGUAGGUGGCUUGAUAAGCCGGUUGUGAAAGCCCCGGGCUCAACCUGGGAACGGCAUCCGGAACUGUCAAGCUAGAGUGCAGGAGAGGAAGGUAGAAAUCCCGGUGUAGCGGUGAAAUGCGUAGAGAUCGGGAGGAAUACCAGUGGCGAAGGCGGCCUUCUGGACUGACACUGACACUGAGGUGCGAAAGCGUGGGUAGCAAACAGGAUUAGAUACCCGUGUAGUC
rnacentral:rRNA from 1 species